rnacentral:rRNA from 1 species
AAUACGAAGGGACCUAGCGUAGUUCGGAAUUACUGGGCUUAAAGAGUUCGUAGGUGGUUGAAAAAGUUAGUGGUGAAAUCCCAGAGCUUAACUCUGGAACUGCCAUUAAAACUUUUCAGCUAGAGUAUGAUAGAGGAAAGCAGAAUUUCUAGUGUAGAGGUGAAAUUCGUAGAUAUUAGAAAGAAUACCAAUUGCGAAGGCAGCUUUCUGGAUCAUUACUGACACUGAGGAACGAAAGCAUCGGUAGCGAAGAGGAUUAGAUACCCUCGUAGUCCAUGCCGUAAACGAUGUGUGUUAGACGUUGGAAAUUUAUUAUCAGUGUCGCAGCGAAAGCGAUAAACACACCGCCUGGGGAGUACGACCGCAAGGUUAAAACUCAAAUGAAUUGACGGGGACCCGCACAAGUAGUGGAGCAUGUGGUUUAAUUCGAAGAUACGCGCAGAACCUUACCAACACUUGACAUGUUCGUCGCGACUUUAAGAGAUUAAAGUUUUCGGUUCGGCCGGACGAAACACAGGUGCUGCAUGGUUGUUGUCAGCUCGUGUCGUGAGAUGUUGGGUUAAGUCCCGCAACGAGCGCAACCCUCACUUUUAGUUGCCAUCAUUUAGUUGGGCACUCUGAAAGAACUGCCAGUGAUAAGCUGGAGGAAGGUGGGGAUGAUGUUAAGUCCUCAUGGCCCUUACGUGUUGGGCUACACACGUGCUACAAUGGUAUCUACAACAGGAAGCAAAGCCGCGAGGUUAAGCAAAUCCUUAAAAGAUACCUCAGUUCGGAUUGCACUCUGCAACUCGAGUGCAUGAAGCUGGAAUUACUAGUAAUCGUGGAUCAGCGUGCCACGGUGAAUGCGUUCCCGGGUCUUGUACACACCGCCCGUCACACCAUGGGAGUUGGUUCUACCUUAAGGCAAGGUUUCAAACCCUUGACCACGGUAUAGUCAGC